rnacentral:rRNA from 1 species
GUUAGUGGCGAAAGGGUGAGUAAUGGAUAGGUAACGUACCCCGGUCUCUGGGAUAGCCAUCCGAAAGGGUGGGUAAUACCGGAUAACAUCACAGGUCGAUGGGCCUGUGCUCAAAGAUUCAUCGGACCGGGAGCGGCCUAUCUCCUAUCAGCUAGUUGGUGAGGUAACGGCCCACCAAGGCGAAGACGGGUAGCGGGACUGAGAGGUUGGCCUGCCACAUCGGAACUGAGACACUGUCCGGACCCCCACGGGGGGCUGCAGUAACGAAUCUUGGGCAAUGGGCGAAAGCCUGACCCAGCGACGCCGCGUGCGGGAGGAAGUCCCUCGGGAUGUAAACCGCUGUCAGGGGUAAGAAAGUCCACUUCGGUGGAUUGAUCGAACCCAGAGGAAGUCACGGCUAACUCUGUGCCAGCAGCCGCGGUAAGACAGAGGUGGCUAGCGUUGUUCGGUAUCACUGGGCUUAAAGCGUGUGUAGGCGGGAGCGUAAGCAUUUUGUGAAAUCCCCCGGCUCAACCGGGGCAUUGCUUGAUGUACUGCGUUCCUUGAGGCAAGUAGGGGUGCGAGGAACUCUUGGUGGAGCGGUGGAAUGCGUAGAUAUCAAGAGGAACGCCGAUGGUGAAGACAUCGCACUAGGCUUGUCCUGACGCUGAGACACGAAAGCGUGGGGAGCGAACGGGAUUAGAUACCCCNGGUAGUCCACGCCNGUAAACGAUGCUUACUAGGGUUGUGGCGGGUUCUGACGCCGNGCACAGCCGNAAGCCAAAGUGUUAAGUAAGCCGCCUGGGGAGUACGGUCGCAAGGCUAAAACUCAAAGGAAUUGACGGGGGCUCACACAAGCGGUGGAGCAUGUGGAUCAAUUCGAAGCAACGCGCAGAACCUUACCUGGGUUUGACAUGCUUGGAUGCCUUUCUGGAAACAGAGUAGGCUGCCCUUCGGGGUGAAACUUGCACAGGUGCUGCAUGGCUGUCGUCAGCUCGUGUCGUGAGAUGUCGGGUUAAGUCCCUUAACGAGCGAAACCCUUACCGUUAGUUACCAGCGGGUCAUGCCGGGAACUCUAGCGGGACUGCCGGUGUUAAACCGGAGGAAGGCGGGGAUGACGUCAAGUCAUCAUGGCCUUUAUGCCCAGGGCCUCACACGUGCUACAAUGGUCGGUACAAAGCGACGCGAGACCGCAAGGUGGAGCCAAUCGCAAAAAAGCGGCCCCAGUUCGGAUUGUAGGCUGGCAACUCGCCUGCAUGAAGUU